CACCCCAGUCGCUAAUUCCACCGUGGAGGGUAGCCAGUUUAGCUUCCCCGCUUCGGGUGAAAUCAACUCCCAUGGUGUGACGGGCGGUGAGUACAAGACCCGGGAACGUAUUCACCGUAGCAUAGCUGAUCUACGAUUACUAGUGAUUCCAGCUUCAUGUAGUCGAGUUGCAGACUACAAUCCGAACUGAGACCAGGUUUAUAGAUUUGCUCCACCUCGCGGUAUCGCCUCUCAUUGUCCUGGCCAUUGUAGCACGUGUGUUGCCCUAGCCGUAAGGGCCAUGAUGACUUGACGUCGUCCUCACCUUCCUCCUCCUUACGAAGGCAGUCUCACUAGAGUCCUCGGCCGAACCGUUAGUAACUAGUGACGAGGGUUGCGCUCGUUGCGGGACUUAACCCAACAUCUCACGACACGAGCUGACGACAGCCGUGCAGCACCUGUAUAUUAGCUCCCGAAGGCACCACUCUAUCUCUNAAGUGNUCUAAAAUAUGUCAAGGCUAGGUAAGGNUCUUCGCGUAUCUUCGAAUUAAACCACAUGCUCCACCACUUGUGCGGGUCCCCGUCUAUUCCUUUGAGUUUUAAUCUUGNGACCGUACUCCCCANNNNGAAUGUUUAAUGNGUUAGCUGCAUCACCGAAUAGACUANCUACCCNANGACUAA
rnacentral:rRNA from 1 species